rnacentral:rRNA from 1 species
AUUGAACGCUGGCGGCAGGCCUAACACAUGCAAGUUGAACGAAGUGGCGGAUGGGCGAGUAACCCGUGAGGAACCUGCCUUUCACAGGGGAAUAACACUGGGCAACCAAUGCUAAUACCGCAUAGUGAAAGAUUGCCUCGCGCCUGAUUAGCUAGUAGGUGAGGUAACGGCUCACCUAGGUGAUGAUCAGUAGCCGGACUGAAGGUUGAUCGGCCGCAUUGGGACUGAGACACGGCCCAGACUCCUACGGGAGGCAGCAGUGGGGAAUAUUGGGCAAUGGCGCAAGCCUGACCCAGCAACGCCGCGUGAAGGAAGACGGUCUUCGGAUUGUAAACUUCUUUCCAUCGAACAGGGUAGGUGGAGAAGAAGCGCCGGCUAACUACGUGCCAGCAGCCGCGGUAAUAC